rnacentral:rRNA from 1 species
AGAGUUUGAUCAUGGCUCAGAUUGAACGCUGGCGGUAGGCUUAACACAUGCAAGUCGUGCGAGAAAGUAUCUUCGGAUAUGAGUAGAGCGGCGGACGGGUGAGUAACGCGUAGGAAUCUACCUAGUAGAAGGGGAUAGCCCGAGGAAACUCGGAUUAAUACCGUAUACCUCCUUAGGGAGAAAGAGGGCCUCUCUUGAUGCUCUCGCUAUUAGAUGAGCCUGCGUAAGAUUAGCUUGUUGGUGAGGUAAUGGCUCACCAAGGCCACGAUCUUUAGCUGGUCUGAGAGGACGAUCAGCCACAUUGGGACUGAGACACGGCCCAGACUCCUACGGGAGGCAGCAGUGGGGAAUAUUGGACAACGGGCGCAAGCCUGAUCCAGCCAUACCGCGUGUGUGAAGAAGGCCUUCGGGUUGUAAAGCACUUUAAGCAGGGAGAAGAAGUUAUAAGUUAAUACCUUAUAACCGUGAUGUUACCUGCAGAAUAAGCACCGGCUAAUUCCGUGCCAGCCGCCGCGGU